rnacentral:rRNA from 1 species
AUUGAACGCUGGCGGCAGGCCUAACACAUGCAAGUCGAGCGAGCGGCGGACGGGUGAGUAAUGUAUGGGGAUCUGCCCGAUAGAGGGGGAUAACUACUGGAAACGGUAGCUACUACCGCAUACCAUCAGAUGGGGCCAGAUGGGAUUAGCUAGUAGGUGGGGUAAUGGCUCACCUAGACGACGAUGCCUAGCGGGUCUGAGAGGAUGACCAGCCACACUGGGACUGAGACACGGUCCAGACUCCUACGGGAGGCAGCAGUAGGGAAUAUUGCACAAUGGGCGCAAGCCUGAUGCAGCCAUGCCGCGUGUGUGAAGAAGGCUUUCGGGUUGUAAAGCACUUUCAGCGAGGAGGCGUUACUCGCAGAAGAAGCACCGGCUAACUCCGUGCCAGCAGCCGCGGUAAUUC